CAAUAGCGUAUAUUAAAGUUGUUGCAGUUAAAAAGCUCGUAGUUGGAUUUCUGGUGUUCCUGGUUGGUCUGCCCGAUAGGGUACGCACUGGCCGCGAGCAUCUUCCUUCUGAAGACGGUGUCUGCACUUAACUGUGUUGGACACUCGGAUUCAGAUCGUUUACUUUGAAAAAAUUAGAGUGUUCAAAGCAGGCCAAUGCCUUGAAUACAUUAGCAUGGAAUAAUAGAAUAGGACUUCAGUUCUAUUUUGUUGGUUUCUAGGACCGGAGUAAUGAUUAAUAGGGAUAGUUGGGGGCAUUCAUAUUUAAUUGCUAGAGGUGAAAUUCUCAGAUUUAUGAAAGAUGAACUUCUGCGAAAGCAUUUGCCAAGGAUGUUUUCAUUAA
rnacentral:rRNA from 1 species